rnacentral:rRNA from 1 species
AUUGAACGCUGGCGGCAUGCUUUACACAUGCAAGUCGAACGGUAACAGGCCUUCGGGCGCUGACGAGUGGCGGACGGGUGAGUAACGCGUAGGAAUGUGUCCGAGGGUGGGGGAUAACGUUGGGAAACUGACGCUAAUACCGCAUAUCCCCCUGAGGGGGAAAGCAGAGAUGCGCCCACGGAGCAGCCUGCGUCCGAUUAGGUAGUUGGUGGGGUAAAGGCUCACCAAGCCGACGAUCUGUAGCUGGUCUGAGAGGACGACCAGCCACACUGGGACUGAGACACGGCCCAGACUCCUACGGGAGGCAGCAGUGGGGAAUUUUGGACAAUGGGCGCAAGCCUGAUCCAGCAAUGCCGCGUGCAGGAAGAAGGCCUUCGGGUUGUAAACUGCUUUUGUACGGAACGAAACGGCUCUGGUUAAUACCUGGGGCUAAUGACGGUACCGUAAGAAUAAGCACCGGCUAACUACGUG